GGGUAGCAUCAAGAGCUAUGAAUGUUUCCUGAUUCAAACUUCCAACAAAAAAAGCUGCUGGAAUUCCUGCAUGUAGCUCUUGAGCACAAUCUACAUGUCUCAAGUUGCCAGACACACGA